rnacentral:rRNA from 1 species
GGAAUAGCGGCGGACGGGUGAGUAACACGUGAGUAACCUACCUUUUACACAGGGAUAGCCUCGGGAAACCGGGAUUAAAACCUGAUGAAACUAUCAAAUCACAAGAUUAAGAAAGUUAAAACUCCGGUGGUAAAAGAUGGACUCGCGGCCCAUUAGCUAGUUGGUGAAGUAACGGUCCACCAAGGCAACGAUGGGUAGCCGGCCUGAGAGGGUGAACGGCCACAUUGGAACUGAGAGACGGUCCAAACUCC